UACGGAGGGGGCUAGCGUUGUUCGGAAUUACUGGGCGUAAAGCGCACGUAGGCGGAUCGUUAAGUCGGGGGUGAAAUCCCGGGGCUCAACCCCGGAACUGCCUUCGAUACUGGCGGUCUCGAGGACGGUAGAGGCUAGUGGAAUGGCGAGUGUAGAGGUGAAAUUCGUAGAUAUUCGCCGGAACACCAGUGGCGAAGGCGACUGGCUGGACCGUUUCUGACGCUGAGGUGCGAAAGCGUGGGGAGCAAACAGG
rnacentral:rRNA from 1 species